rnacentral:rRNA from 1 species
GUCCUCCGCAUUGGGACCUCCAUUUCAGUUGGAUCUGGGGCUGUGACCCUGUUCUGGUUCGACUAGUGGGCGGGAGACACCCCCUUCGCCGCGCGCUUCCCUGACCUCUUCUCCAUCGCCGUUGAUCCUUGGAUCUCAGUAAAGAGGGCCCUUAUUGACUUAGGGCGCCUCGCAUUCCGGAGGCCAUUUGGGCCUUAGGACUCCGCCGCCUGGCAUGAGUUAGCGGACUGUGUCGCCCUUCACGAGCCGGUGGUGGGCGUUGGCCCGGAUCUGGUUAGGUGGCGCCUUGAGCCAUCGGGCCAAUUCUCCACCAAGUCCCUCUACCAGGCCAAUGCCCCCUCCACCCCCCUCUCCUUAGUGGUGUGGUCCAUCCGCAUGCCACUAAACAUUUGGAUCUUCAUGUGGUAGUGGAUUCACGGGCGGACCAUGUCUGUGGUGGAGGUUCGCAAGCGCAAUGGCCCUGGUACUAGCCUUUGCCUGCUCUGGGGUAUCCCGGAAGAUUCGAAUCACAUCUUCUUAUAUUGUGUGUCCGCUCAAUUUGUUUGGAGCUACUUUAGAGAGGUGGUUGGUGGUAAUUGGUAUCACACCAACUUCCCUGACCUAUUCGCUGAACUCCAGAACUCCCCCAUGCCUUCUCGCCACAUUAGGUGGCUGGAGAUUGGGGCCCUCGCAUGGACCCUCUGGACGAUCCUGUGA